rnacentral:rRNA from 1 species
UUAAUCGGAAUUACUGGGCGUAAAGCGCAUGCAGGCGGCCUGUUAAGUCAGAUGUGAAAGCCCCGGGGCUUAACCUCGGAAUUGCAUUUGAAACUGGCAGGCUAGAGUCUUGUAGAGGGGGUAGAAUUUCAGGUGUAGCGGUGAAAUGCGUAGAGAUCUGAAGGAAUACCAGUGGCGAAGGCGGCCCCCUGGACAAAGACUGACGCUCAGAUGCGAAAGCGUGGGGAGCAAACAGGAUUAGAUACCCUGGUAG